GUGUUCACUCCAGCAGCACAUAAACUAAAAUUGAAAUAAUACAGAGAGCAUUAGCAUGGCCCCUGUGCAAGGAUGACAUGAAAAUUCAUGAAGUGUUCCAGGCUUUA
ensembl:snRNA U6 U6 spliceosomal RNA